ACGACGCUGGCGGCGUGGAUUAGGCAUGCAAGUCGAACGGUAUCAUCCUUUCGGGGGUGAGAGAGUGGCGAACUGGUGAGUAACACGUAGGUUAUCUACCCUCAAGACGGGGACAACCCAGGGAAACUUGGGCUAAUACCGGAUGUGAGCAACUUUUAGUUGUUUGAAAGGUGGCGUAAGCUGUCGCUUGGGGAUGAGCCUGCGUCCUAUUAGUUAGUUGGUGAGGUAACGGCUCACCUAGGCAAUGAUAGGUAGGCGGCCUUAACGGGUGGUCGCCCACACUGGGAUUGAGAUACGGCCCAGACUCCUACGGGAGGCAGCAGUCGAGAAUAGUCUACAAUGGUCGGAAGACUGAUAGUGCGACGCCGCGUGAACGAUGAAUCCCUUCGGGGUGUAAAGUUCUUUUAUAUGUGAGCAGUGCUUCUUAUAUUAACAGUAUGGGGAGAGAGAUAUUAGCAUAUGAAUAAGCAACGGCUAACUCCGUG
rnacentral:rRNA from 1 species